rnacentral:rRNA from 1 species
AGUGAACGCUGGCGGUAGGCCUAACACAUGCAAGUCGAACGGCAGCACAGUAAGAGCUUGCUCUUACGGGUGGCGAGUGGCGGACGGGUGAGGAAUACAUCGGAAUCUGCUUUUUCGUGGGGGCUAACGUAGGGGAACUUACGCUAAUACCGCAUACGACCUAAGGGUGAAAGCAGGGGAUCUUCGGACCUUGCGCGAUUGAAUGAGGCGAUGUCGGAUUAGCUAGUUGGCGGGGUACAGGCCCACCAAGGCGACGAUCCGUAGCUGGUCUGAGAGGAUGAUCAGCCACACUGGAACUGAGACACGGUCCAGACUCCUACGGGAGGCAGCAGUGGGGAAUAUUGGACAAUGGGCGCAAGCCUGAUCCAGCCAUACCGCGUGGGUGAAGAAGGCCUUCGGGUUGUAAAGCCCUUUUGUUGGGAAAGAAAAGCAGCAGGUUAAUACCCCGCUGUUCUGACGGUACCCAAAGAAUAAGCACCGGCUAACUUCGUG